UCCAGCUCCAAUAGCGUAUAUUUAAGUUGUUGCAGUUAAAAAGCUCGUAGUUGGAUCUUGGGAUGUAAAGGUCAGUCCGCCUACUCGGUGUGCACCUGCCCUUCCGUCCCUUUUGUCGGCGGCGUGCUCCUGGCCUUAAUUGGCUGGGUCGCGGUUCCGGCGCUGUUACUUUGAAAAAAUUAGAGUGCUCAAAGCAAGCUUAUGCUCUGAAUACAUUAGCAUGGAAUAACGUGAUAGGAGUCUGGUCCUAUUGUGUUGGCCUUCGGGACCGGAGUAAUGAUUAAUAGGGACUGUCGGGGGCAUUCGUAUUUCAUUGUCAGAGGUGAAAUUCUUGGAUUUAUGAAAGACGGACCACUGCGAAAGCAUUUGCCAAGGAUGUUUUCAUUAAUCAAGAACGAAAGUUGGGGGCUCGAAGACGAUCAGAUACCGUCCUAGUCUCAACCAUAAACGAUGCCGACCAGGGAUCGGCGGAUGUUGCUCUAAGGACUCCGCCAGCACCUUCUGAGAAAUCAGAGUGUUUGGGUUCCGGGGGGAGUAUGGUCGCAAGGCUGAAACUUAAAGGAAUUGACGGAAGGGCACCACCAGGAGUGGAGCCUGCGGCUUAAUUUGACUCAACACGGGGAAACUUACCAGGUCCAGACAUAGUAAGGAUUGACAGAUUGAGAGCUCUUUCUUGAUUCUAUGGGUGGUGGUGCAUGGCUGUUCUUAGUUAGUGGAGCGAUUUGUCUGGUUAAUUCCGAUAAUGAAGGAGACCUCAGCCUGCUAACUAGCUACGUGGAGGUUCCCCUUCGCGGCCAGCUUCUUAGAGGGACUAUGGCCGUUUAGGCCAUGGAAGUUUGAGGCAAUAAC
rnacentral:rRNA from 1 species